GCAAGAGGGUGUCAUCAGGAUGCAACAGCUUUGAAAAUGAGGGGAGAAUAGGGUGGGAAUUGUCCCCCCCUCAUGAGAUCUCUAUCACUCACAAGCAUUCCCAAAGUGACUGUUUCCUAUCACUUCCCAAUUGCCAAGAAAUCCCCUCCUGCUGCUGCAAGAAGCGUGACAGCUCCUACCAACUGUCUCCUCAUGGCAGGUAAAAGCAAGUGGUUCUGAAGGGGCAGGUGCUGUUACCUGGCUCAGCUGAGAAAAUUGCUCGGCGCUGCAGCAGUUUGUGUCGUGAUGAUCAACUCCCCAGCUGGGAAAACAAUGGUUCAAUAGGGAAUUACAGAGGUGGAACAGAGUGAAGAUGGGCGGUGAUGGCUGGACAUCAUGUGAAGAUCUCCACAGGCAGAAAUAUGGAAAUUAUAGCAUAUUUUCCACUAUGCAAAGGGCAGGAUUCCCGUGCAGCGUUGGCAUAUGCAGAGCAGCUGGGAAAGGUGGGGAUGGAACGUACCACGCUGUCACUUCUGGGGAAAGCAGCCAAAUGCACUGACAGUUCUCAUGUAGGCUGGCUCCAAACCAAAUGGCUUCCCAGCAGGAUUUCCAAAUUACUACCUUGACCACUGCAUGUGCUUCUUCCACAGUCUGAAAAUCCAUGUAUGUAAAUGAACAUUCCUUCAUUGUACCAGGAUAAUUAAUUUCUGCCCUAAAGUGCCGCUUUCCAGUUCACAUUUCUCUGGUCCCUGUGAGGAUCUAAACAAGACUGAGAAGCCUCAGGCCUCACCCUGCCUGCAUCAAGAGCUGUUGAACUGCUUGUGAAUCCUCUCCCAAACCUUGGAAGGGGCACCUCCACAGGCCAGAGCUUUGCAGAGCCCAUCCAAAUUGCAUUGCGGGGAUGAAGGGCAUCCAAGGGCUUGCUUAAAGUGCUGCUGAAAUGUGGUCUCCUCUGGAAUGAAACACAAUCAGUGAUUAACAACAUGCACAAUUAGCCUUUUAAAGUCCAGCUCGAGGAGAAAUUGCAGACAGGAGCAGUCAUGGCAUGAGGAGGGCAGAGCAUCUGGCUCCGGAUCACUGCUGAAUUAGGUGUCGGAGCAGCCUGGAUCCUAACAGCCAUGUUAAACCAGGUGCACUGCUGUUUUCCUAUCAACAGGGAUUACAUUGGUUAAAACCAUUUAUUUGAUACUGACUAAUCGAGGAAGGCCCAGAGGAGCUGGGAAAUGAAAGGGGUAAUCAGAUAUUCCAGAGCUCUCCCACUCAGAGCACGCACACGAAAUCUUCAAAGCCAACGCAGUGCAGGUGCAUAUUCCCAAAUGCAGACUGGGUUGGCAAAGGACUCCGUUUUCCAUGGGAGCUACUGUGUCCACAAAGAACUUCCCGGGCUCCAGCUGCCAUCUCGUGGUCAUAUGAGACAUCUCCCUAUUUUUUUCCCCUUCUGAUUACCACUGUUCGUGGCCCAAGCAGUACUUUUCCAGGAUUGGAAAUGUCGAAAAUUUAUGGGAAGUGUUUUCCUCGGGAAAGCCCUGGUCAAAAGCAUCAUAUUCCCAAAUUGCAGUGGGUUUGACCUUCUCACCACACAUUAGAGAGGAUACUUGGUUUUCCGUCGUUUGGAAAACAGUGACCUUAGGAAAAGGUGGACUCCAAGGGAGGGGAGGUGUUUAACAUCACUCUUUGUCCUUGAAACCUCCAGGAAUUUUAAGCAGUGUUUAGCAGCACACUCAGGUUUGAACUUUGCUGCUGUCUUCCUCGGACUCCUGGUUGACACCUUCUGGCCCACCACCCCAGAAGAAAGCUCCAGAAGGCUGUAGGAUCUGCAAAGCUGGUCCAGCUACAGCAUAUGGCAGUCCCUCCAAGCUGGUGGCUCUGUUGUCUCUUUCCUCUGAGCACUUGCUCCAGCCCUGCUCCGUGCAGGAGAUCCCCGAGCCAUCUGCAGCCCCAGGAAAUCCAGUGAAGCUUUGAAGAGGAUCAGAGUCCAUCUGCACAGAACAGCUUGUGGUACAGAGAGUCCCAGGGUAACAUCUUGGCCCCAGGGAAGAUGAUGGGAGUUUGGCUGGUUUUGAAACAGGACCAAGGUUUUUUUUCCAAUGUGAUUCAGUGUGUCAGCAGGACUUACAGAUGCUCAUGGGGCUGCUCUGCGCAUAAAAUAAGGCUCAUUUAGAAGGGACCUUAAAUACUAUUUCAUUCCACCCCGUGCCACGGGCAGAGACACCUUCCA